ensembl:lncRNA
UCCACACAGCCUUGGGGACACAGGCAGCCCCACAUGGCCAUGGAAAUGGCUGGCAGACCAGCAACCCGGUGAGCAGGGCUGUGCAGGAGAGAGCAGCACAGGGAAGCAGGGCAGGAGGCUGCUCCUUUCUUCCCUCCCCUCUGCCUUGCAGAUGGACAGCCCAACACAAAUGGCACCAGGUGACCAUAAGUGCUGCAGCUCAGCCCUCCAAUCUGCUGUUCAUGUUCCACUAAAAAGAUAAGUCAGCCCCAUACUGCAGCCUGUCGUGCUCCUACAGGACCAUGGAAGCUCCCCAAGGUCCCCCUGGUCUUACCCCAAACCUCUUACUCUGCUAUGCUGAGUCCUGACCCCACUGCAGGUGCUGGCACCACACCAACUGAUGGCAGAGGCCGUGUCAACGUGGUGUUGGUGACACAGUGAGCCCCAAAUGGCCAAGGAAACCAUUUUCAGACCAGCAACCCGGUGAGCAGUGCUGUGCAGGAGAGAGCAGCACAGGGAAGCAGGGCAGGAGGCUGCUCCUUUCUUCCUUGCCCUCUGCCUUGCAGGUGGGCAUACGUACCAACAUGGAACCAGCACAGGACACACACCUGUCCACAGCUCUCCAUCUGGUCUCCAUGGCACACAGGACAGAUAAGUCAGCCCCAGACAGAACCCAUUCUAGAGACCCUGGAAGCUCCCCAAGGACCCCUUCCCCUACCCCAAUGUUCAGUGCUGCUUUCCUGAGCCCUGGCCCCACUGCAGGUGCUGGCAUCAGACCUGCUGAUUGCAGUGGCCCUUUCCACACAGCCUUGGGGACACAGGCAGCCCCACAUGGCCAUGGCAAUGGCUGGCAGACCUGCAACACGGUGAGCAGUGCUGUGCAGGGGAGAGCAGCACAGGGAAGCAGGGCAGGAGGCUGCUCCUCUUGUGCACCCCCUCUGCCUUGCAGACAGACAUCUGGACACGCACAGAACCAGAGCAGUGCAGCCUCCUCCAACCAGCCCAUGUCUGCACCUGGCCAAGGCACCGACUGAUGCAUGAGGAAGGCACCCGUCCCGCUCUGCACCCCAGUGUGCUCCUACAGGCAGCCUGAGGAUCCGCACCGCAUGGGCAGAGGCAGCUCCCCUAUGGACUGUGUAAAACAGAACUCUGAAGACGAGGACAGAACAAGAAGCUCAAAGGGAUGGACGGGCCCCAUUCAGAGCUACCAGAGACACCACAGCCAGAAGAGAAGGAAGCACCGGAACAGAGCGCUCCUGAGACCCGGGGCAGCAAAACUGCACAGGCCAUCUUGGUGUCAUCUGCAGCCUGCUGAGGAUGCCCUCCAUCCCACUGUCCACAUCCCCUACAAAGCCGUUCAAUAACUGCCCACAGCACUCAUCCCUACCUUUUUGUGAUUCAGCAGCGUGAG